UACGUAGGUGACCAGCGUUGUCCGGAUUUACUGGGCGUAAAGAGCGCGCAGGCGGUCGUUCAAGUCGAGUGUGAAAUCCCCGGGCUUAACCCGGGAACUGCAUUCGAGACUGCAUAGCUAGAGUAUGGGAGAGGGAAGUGGAAUUUCAGGUGUAGCGGUGAAAUGCGUAGAUAUCUGAAGGAACAUCAGUGGCGAAAGCGACUUCCUGGACCAAUACUGACGCUCAUGUGCGAAAGCGUGGGGAGCAAACAGG
rnacentral:rRNA from 1 species